UGUGUGUGUGUGUGUGUGUGUGUGUGUGUGUGUGUGUGUGUGUACAACUGCUGCAUACUCUAAAAGAACGAAAAUACUUCUACACAAGCUCGAUUUCACGUAUCAUUGCAAUGGGAAAUGUGUCAGAACGGAAUUCAGACGCAGCGCAAGUAUGAUUGCACCACAGCAAUGUAGGAACAGGACCUGUGUAGCCUACUUGCAUGUAUGCUUUGACCUCAGAUUGAGAGCAUGUUCAUGUGUGGCUGCAUCAGCGUCCCGUGUGUUUGUGUGUGUGUGUGUGUGUGUGUGUGUGAGAGAGAGUCUGUUCCUCAGUCUUGUCUCUGUCUCCCUCUUGCUGCCGUAGGUGGACUAACUCAGACAGCACAACCUCUAAAGUUUUUGGUUUUGUCGCCAAGAAGCCCGGCAGUGCGGUGGAGAACGUCUGCCAUCUCUUCGCAGAGCUGGAUCCCGAACAGCCUGCGACUGCCAUCGUCAACUUCAUUAACAAAGUAAUGCUGGCACCGCAGAGACGCUAAAGCCCCGGGGACGAGGAGCGUCAUCUUCACACCACACACACACACACACACCGCCGAACAUCACAAGACUCUAGUGUUGCACCUUCUGUCAAGUUUAAGAGCUUCACAACUAAAGACUGCAGGAACUUUUGGCAAAGACAACGGCUUUACUGUUGACUAACACGAUACCAAAGCACAUUCAAACCAAAAUAUAGAGAAUGUAACCGAACUAAAGCCAACCAUCUGUUGUGGUAUUGCGCUAUUUAAGCCUUUUUUGGUGUUCGUGGGAUUGUAAAUGGUUUUUAUAAAAUUGUCACCAAGAUUUUUUUUAAAUGUGUACAUUUUAGGCACUGCAUUGACCCCUGAAUACAAUAAAUGAUAUAUGCACUCCCAACAUAUGAAUUGCACAGAAAAAAGCCUUUGCAGAAGGACAAUCAUCAGUUUAUAUAUUUUAUUAAUCCACCAAAUUGAAGUGAAUUUUUGUCCUUUUAACUGGAAAGGAGGUGCCAUGGUUUCUGAAUCUGGCCCAGUGUCUGCGAAUGAUAGUGAAAGUUAAGAGCGUUUGAGAUGGAGAGCGAAAGAUGGAGGACCAGACAUGGCGUAAUCGUGACGCGGGGUUCCUGUAGUAUGAUGUCACAAUGGAAGGUUGAUGGUCAUGUGAUUAUUAGCCAGAGAGAAUUCGGUUGCCUUUAGAGUAGGAAAGGAACUUUAUUUAGUACCCUUUUGUGGUGUAGGCUAUUUUAUGCACCAUUCAUACAUGGAAUAAGACAGUGGUACAUAACCGUCCACAUCGUAUAUGAACCAUAGCCUGGUCAGCUGACCGUCACGCCUGACGUAUGGUGUAGUAAUGGAACAUUAUUAUUGGAAUGUAAUCGGUCUUUAAACUGACGGGACAGGUGGACGUUUCUGCAUUCCAUGUUUUGCAUCAUGAUCUCCAGAAGCGGUUUAUAACCAAAGACGUGUGGCUAUAUGUACUCAUUCAGUUACUAUAAGCUGUGCCAUUUAUUUUACUUGCCUGUAUCAACGAGUUAUUGCUGUUUUUGACAGAUAGUUAGACACGUCUAUGACGACUUUAAUAUAUUGUAUUCUGUAUUUUCUUAUUGAUCUUUGUAUGUAGUAAUAUAUUUUCACACAUGCAGCUGACUUGGAAAGUUAAAAAAAGACUACAUGGAAGGAUUUUGAUAAGAAAAGGAUUUUUUUAAUUAUCUUAUGCUAUUUUUUCAGUG